rnacentral:tRNA from 1 species
GCGAGAGUGGCGGAACUGGCAGACGCGCACGUUUAAGGGGCGUGUGAUUUCAUCGUACGGGUUCGAUUCCCGUCUCUCGCACCA